rnacentral:lncRNA from 1 species
AAAUAAGUGGAAUCUAAAACAAUAUAAAUGAAUUUUUUGUACAAUGUUAUAUUACAAUCCAUUAAAUUAGGUUACACUUUAGAUGGGUCUUUACCUUAUUUAUAAUUUUGUAACUGAACGCUUUGGUCAUUUGGAAAAUACUGGUCUACUUAGUUUUGUAAAUCUUCCAAGUGUUCUCAUACGAGAUUUUAAAAUCUCAUUGCUACUCUGUGUGUAUAAAUCACAUAGUUAUUCUAUUUACAUGAGAUAUUCAUAUUAGGCAAAUUCACACAGACAGUAGAUUAGCGGUUGCCACAGGAUAGGGAGAAGUAGGGGCUGGGAAGUGCUGAUAAUGGUCUCCUUUUGGGGUACUGAAAACGUUCUGGAGCUACAGAAAGGUGAUAGUGACACAACUUUGUGAAUAUGUAAAAACCACUUUAAAAGGGUAAAUUUUAGAGUAUGUGAAUUAUGUGUCAGUUUUUAAAAUUGCAUAUGUUAACACUUGCCACCAACCUCAUUAGAAAUGUAAAGUAUUGAAAAUACUGGAAAGUAGCAAACUCGUGGAGGUUGAAGAGAAGUCCUCCAAAAUUCUGUGUUUCCUUUGGAAAGCCUGAAUAUUAUUAUCCUUGGCAAACAAAUGUUUUCCUUGAAGAGACAGCCUCCUCUUCAAUAAUGUGUCUGCCAUAUGUAAACAUGGCGUUCCAUGAAAAAAGCAGAUUGGCUUUCAACUUGGUCUCGUGACUGCUUUUCUUAAAAACAACCGUUACACUUGAAUCUGCGGCAGACAUGCUUUGUGUUUUCCUUGCCAUAUAGGCUAUUACAAAGACGUGAGCUCAAGGAUGAAGAUUUAGUGAUUUUUACUCUUUCAUCAAAGAUAUCCAUCCGUAAGUGAAUCUGGCUAUGAUUAGCCAGCAGUUGCUUGGCGGUGACGAAUACCAUGACACUAGUGCCUUUUGGUGACACUGCUUUGACUCAAACUCAGGCACUAGCACUUUUACCCACUGUUUUUGCACCAUCGGGGUGAACAUCAACAGUUGCUCCAGAAUCAGCCACAAGGGAAUAGUUAGUCAGCAC